rnacentral:rRNA from 1 species
AAGUCUACAGGUUUCCGUAGGUGAACCUGCGGAAGGAUCAUUAAUAAUGCCCUCUGACGCAAGUCAUUGGGUUAGAUCUGCUCUCUUCGCAAGAAGAGGGUUUCCAUACACACCGUGAACUGUGGCUUCGGCCAUCACAAACUGUUAGUAAUGAAUGUAAUAUCAUAACAAAAACAAAACUUUUAACAACGGAUCUCUUGGCUCUCGCAUCGAUGAAGAACGCAGCGAAAUGCGAUAAGUAAUGUGAAUUGCAGGAUUCAGUGAAUCAUCGAAUCUUUGAACGCACCUUGCGCCCUUUGGUAUUCCGAAGGGCAUGCCUGUUUGAGUGUCAUGAAACCUCACCCCACUUGGGUUUUUGCCUGAGCGGUGGUGUAUUGGGUGUUGCCUUGCUAAAGGCUCGCCUUAAAGACAUAAGCACCUUGGAUGUAAUACGUUUCAUCCUUCUGGGUGGCUGAUAACCCCACAUAUUCAUGAUCUGGCCUCAAAUCAGGUAGGGCUACCCGCUGAACUUAAGCAUAUCA